CCGGCCCCCCUCCCCCGCCCUCGCUACUGCCCUUAUAAGCCCUAUGUGUACCCCACGCGUAACUUGCUUCUCGGCUUCUCUGACUGGCCAGCAUUCUUGGCGCAGACCCAGCAUCCUUUCACCUGAGAGGGCGAGAACUCUGGGAAAUGAGCUGACCCAGGUGGACUCUUCAGGUGACAAAGAUGGAAACCCCAGGUAUGCCAGCAAGAAAAGAGGCAGGAGUCCAUGGGUCAGAGACUAGCCCCAGAGCAUCCUUGGAACCAUGACCUGAAGAGAGACAAGCCUCAAAGUGGAAGGAGCUACAUUUGCAUCACCACUGGAGAACAAUCACCUCCAAGGGAUUUGGAGAGAAGUCUUCUCUAAUACCCACUUUUAAGUCCCAGUUGUAUUUUUUAUUCUCCUAGCACUCAGUGUUGUUGAGGGGAAAUUCUAGAUUUCCCAUAAUAUCUUGGUCAUGAAACUGAAAUGAAAGUCA